UACGUAGGGUGCAAGCGUUAAUCGGAAUUACUGGGCGUAAAGCGUGCGCAGGCGGUUGUGCAAGACAGAUGUGAAAUCCCCGGGCUCAACCUGGGAAUUGCAUUUGUGACUGCACGGCUAGAGUGUGUCAGAGGGGGGUAGAAUUCCACGUGUAGCAGUGAAAUGCGUAGAGAUGUGGAGGAAUACCGAUGGCGAAGGCAAUCCCCUGGGCCUGCACUGACGCUCAUGCACGAAAGCGUGGGGAGCAAACAGG
rnacentral:rRNA from 1 species